rnacentral:rRNA from 1 species
GCGGCUACUGCUAUCAGGUUUCGACUAAGCCAUGCGGGUCAAGGGGUCGUAAGACACCGGCGUACUGCUCAGUAACACGCGGACAAUCUACCCCCAGGUGGAGGAUAACCUCGGGAAACUGAGGCUAAUACCCCAUAGUUGUCAUGUGCUGGAAUGCUUUGACGAUGAAAGAAUUUCGCCUGAGGAUGAGUCUGCGGCCUAUCAGGUAGUAUGUGGUGUAAAGGACCACAUAGCCUAAGACGGGUACGGGCCUUGAAAGAGGGAGCCCGGAGAUGGACUCUGAGACACUAGUCCAGGCCCUACGGGGCGCAGCAGGCGCGAAAACUGUGCAAUGCGCGCAAGCGCGACACGGGAAGCCUGAGUGCCUUAACUAUGUUAAGGCUUUUCUUGAUCCUAAAAAGCUCAAGGAAUAAGAGCUGGGUAAGACGGGUGCCAGCCGCCGCGGUAACACCCGCGGCUCGAGUGGUAGUCACUUUUAUUGAGCCUAAAGCGUUUGUAGCCGGAUUUGUAAACCUCUAGGAAAAUACUUCUGCUUAACUGAAGAAAUUUUGGAGAGACUGCAAAUCUAGGGACCGGGUGAGGUUGAAUGUACUUCUGGGGUAGGGGUAAAAUCCUGUAAUCCUGGAAGGACGACCGGUGGCGAAGGCGUUCAACUAGAACGGAUCCGACGGUGAGGAACGAAGGCUAGGGGAGCAAACCGGAUUAGAUACCCGGGUAGUCCUAGCUGUAAACACUGCCCACUUGGUGUUGCAUCUCCGGUAAGGGGGUGCAGUGCCGUAGCGAAGGUGUUAAGUGGGCCGCUUGGGGAGUAUGGUCGCAAGGCUGAAACUUAA